CUCUGCCUGGUGUUUUCUUCCUCUCUGUCACAGAUUCCAGGAUAAUAUAGUCAGUUUGGCUCAGGUCUCCUGAGGUUUCCACAUGUCCAAGUAGUUCUUUCUUUAAAGUCAGGAAUAAGGCUAGAAUAGCUCCUUUAUUAGUGCUUUCUCUGCCUAUGGGUUAAAGUGUCUGCAAGAAGGGAAAGUAUGAAAAAUUGGACAUUCUUUCAGGAUACACAGACCUAGAUGUGAUUUGUGGGAAUUUACUCAACUUCUCUAAUCUUCUGUUAAAUGAGACCAUAUUUAUAAUGUGCAAUUGUUUUGAAUAAUUAACAAAAUAACAUGUAGAAUAUCACAUUAGAGACUCAACAAUUUGUUGUUGAUUUAAAAGCUAUUGUUAGCCUUUCCCAUUUGAUGAUAUUCAAGAACAACUGAUUAAUUCUAAAUAAUUUGAAUAAAGUAAGACCUUUUCAAAAGAUGAAUGCUUCUAUUUUGCCCAUAAGGCAGAGGUGAAAUUCUUGAUGAUGCCACUCUAAUUCCAAACCAGUAUUGGCAUGGUAAACAGUAAGAGCUACACUUAAAAUGGGUUCGUUAGUUGUAUUUUUAAAGUCUUUUGGCUUUGUCUAGAAACUUACAAAUAACCCUUGAACAAUGCAGGGGUUGGGGCACUGACCCCCUGUGAAGUUGAAAAUCCACAGAUAACUUUUUUUCUUUUUCUUUUUCUUUUUUUGAGAUGGAGUCUCACUCUGUAGCCCUGACUGGAGUGCAGUGGUGCCAUAGCGGCUCACUGCAACCUCCGCCUUCUGGAUUCAAGUGAUUCUUGUGUCUCAGCUUCCCAAAUAGCUGGAAUUGCAGUUGGCGUGAUGACAAUGUAUUUGGCCCUGGCAAUAGAUUACAGCUGGUCUAAACCAAUUCUCAGGAUAUCUUAAAACUAGGAGUAGCCUUAAGAUCCUGUUUUGCCAAGAAUACCUACUUGGAAGUCUAGUCAAAAGGUAUUUAUUAAGGUUUU
rnacentral:lncRNA from 1 species